GCUCAAUUUUUUUUUUGUCUAUUAACAAUAUUUAUCUCCUUCUAAAGCAUUAGUUUCACCUUUUGAUUUUUCUGUUGAUGGAAUUGCAUUCUACGUUUCAGACAACAAGGUGAUUUUGACUGAAGGCAUUGAUGGUGUAGUACCUGUUGAUUACUUCCACAAGAUCGAGUCUUGGCCUAGUCGACAGCCAAUUCCUUUCUGAUUACUUUUUUUUUUUAUGGACAACAUCAUUGACUUAUUACCACCAAACAAUGCAACUGGUGAAACAAGUUUUUUUAUCAGUCACGUUUUAAUCUAUUCUUUUAUCGAUUUUCAUCUGUUAACAAUACACCAAUAUUUGAUCAUGGCUGUUGUUUCCAUACUCAUAAGUUAAUAGAUAUUUCAACUAAUUUAUUUGGAGCCUACUUAGAAUUUUAUGUUUUCGUAUAUUUUAUUAGAAUUGUUCAUCAAAUAUCAUUUUUUUAAUGGAACUCAUGUGAGAUGAUUUUUAAUUUUAUAUGUAUGUUUAUUGCUUUAAUAAAGUUUUAUAAGCAUGGAUCCUAUAAUUUUUAUUGGUGAAUCUAACACUACUAAAAGUCGAAUAUGAAGAGUAAAGAGGGUGUCCACGUCAACCAUUAAAAUCAACCAAUAAGGUUGCUUAGUUUUUCCACGUCAAACCGAAUUGGACUGGUCUUGGGCUGUAUUUUUUUUUAACCGUGAAAAACGAAGAAACAUGUUGAUCAAAAGCCCUGGUCCGAUAAAGUCGGAUAAUGUCGUGAAUCUUUGACGUCUCUCUUCUCUUCGCUCUUUGGAAACCCUAAAUGAAUCUCUUCGACAACUCCUCCCUUCGCCGUUUCCCCUUCCUCAACGGAUAGAUUAAUCGACACCAUAUUCAUUAGUGAGCAAUGAAUCCUCUGAGUUUCUCAUUAAUGGAUUCUUUUCGCCUUAUCCUCUCUACCUCUCUUUAUAAGUCUCUUCUUUUCACAGAAUUGUUACAGAAAAAAAAAACACUCAAACGAUGAAUUCCAGCAGAAAAUUCCAAAACGAUCUUACCGCGAAUAAACCAAACGGAAAAGACGAUGUCUCCUCAGAAGUCUCCGGCGAUCCUAAGUCGAAGAAACCAAACGGCAAAUCCGUUGACUCCUCUGCCGAGCUGCUAUGUUCAAUGAUAAAAAAGGAAGAGGUCGUCUCAACUGGAGAUCUUCCCACGCUCAUCUCAGACUCCAACGAGCAGGUAACUCAUGAUUUCACUAUACUUUAUUACUCAGAUCAAAAUAGAAACAACGAAUGGUAGUCACCUCCGCUACUGACUGCUGAAAAAAGAUCAAAGCUUUAUUUUAUUUUUUUCUCUUUUCUUCUUUGUAUGACUGCGAAAGAUUUUUCAUUCUGUGUAUUAACUGAUAGUUCAACCGAUUGCUUUAUAACUACGAUGUUAUCUUAUAUUUUCUUCUCUUCGUUUUUGUUCUCUGUUUCUUUUUAUGUGAAUCUAAUUGAUAAAAAUGUUCCUCUUGGACAUGUAAAUUGGUUUCUGACUGGUGCUUGAAGCCUUGAAGAUAUACCUCUGUAUAUUGACUUCUCUCUAUGAAAAAUUACUAUUCUAAAAGGAUGAGAGCAGUUUUCUAUUUUCAGAAAAAUGAUCAUACCGUCGGAAGCUCGAUGGAGAGCUGGAAGAUGCAGAGCAAAAGGUCCCGGAAAUUAGGAAGACAGAUAAUAACGUGUGUGAGUUGUCUAUGAAACAAAAACCGGCAACUAAUGGGGUAAAGAGAAUGAUGGAAACCAUGGAGAUUCUAAUGACGCUGGAAAGAAGCUAUGAGUUGAUAACAUCAAUGCCGACAGUGGUUUUCCUGAGGCAGAGUAUCCUGGUGACGAUAUUCCUGGAGCUGGAGCUGUUACAACAAAGCUCUCUCAAGGUGUGACCAGGGAAGCCCCAGAAACAAGCAUUGGGAUGGUAGAAGGAACUACAACUGCCACAGCUGUCUUACCUCCUGAACCUGUUCCAAGUGGAUUCACUGCUGAGAGGUCACCGCUGCUGGAAGACACGUUGCUGCUGUUUUUUUCUCCUUUUUCUUUCCUUUCUCACUGUGAAAUAUUGAUUUAAAUGUUUACAAAUUGAACUCCCUCCAGAAUAAAAUUAGACUCAUGUACGUGAUCGAUGUACCCAGACUGUUGAAGCAUUAUUCAGCCAAGAAACAAGAAUCGCGUGUUAGAUUUA